CUCGUCCAGAUGCACAGCAAGACAGACUCCUCAAGCCUAAGCCGGGCGGCCCACCUGGAAGAGGAAGCGGGGCAGGUGCCCGCAGGCCGGGCUCACCAUGACACGGUGUGAGACCUCCGGCUACAACAUGGGACCCGGGCGCUGCUCCGACCCCUCGUGUCUUGUGUUGCAGCCGGAGGGACGCAGGUCCGCAGCAGAGCCUGCUUCCCGCCAGGGACCCGACGUGGCAGCAGCACGGAGACGGCGGGAAGGAAGGGUCAUUAUCUUGACAAUACACAGAACUGCAGAGCUGCUGCGACUGCACCCUGACAGCGGUGGGGAGUGGAAUGGGGCGUUGUGUGAAUCCACUCGAAGGAAAGAAAACCCCGUCCUGAAGUCAUGGCUGAAAAGCCCAGAAGACGCUGAGCAGGUCCCUCCAGGAGCCACUCGCGUCUGCAGGAGGCUUAGAGGAAGCUGUGUAUCUUUACAGGCCGCCUUGGGCACCCACUCGGGUGAGUGAAGGGCUGACCCGUACCUGUGACCUUCACUGCUGUUUGUCCGACUCACCCCCUGGGUCUUGCCACAGAGCUCAGGACCCUCUCGCCCCGUUCCCCCUCCCCUGCCUCUGCCACCCCUGUGUGCUGGUCCCCCAGUCCCUGAGAUAACCAGUAGCGAACCCCCUCCGUUAGCCUCUGCCCUCCCUGUGGUCGCCGGGUCCAGGGAGGCCCUCCUGGCUCCUGCGCUGCCCACAGAGGACAGACGGCGACCCGUGACUUUCAGAGGCGUCUGUCCAUUACCACCGGCGCCCUGACUGCUCCUUCACCCCACCUGUCCCCCACAGUACCCAGCCCGGACCCCUCGACAGUGGGAAGGGGCGUCAGGUUUCCCGUCUCCGCGAGGGCCUUUGACUUUCUUUCUCAACAUAGCAGGACUUCCAUGGGCAGCUGAAGGUGGUACAUUUUGCCAGGCAAUGUGCAUUCUUCCGAUCUCGCUCGCUUCUGGGACUUGACAGGCUGUGAUUUGUUUGUUUUUUGUGACUAAGGAGCCACAGGCUGGGAAGGCGAUUGGCUGCCUUCAACCUUUUACUGCCCAGCUGUGAAGGCAGGUGACAAGGAGACUGUUCUUUGCUGUGUGUUCUCACUGGCCCAGCCCAGGAUCAGAGCAUCCAGGGGUCCUGGUGGGUGGGUGAUCCUGGUAAGGCUGUGAGAGCCUUGUCUCACCCGCAGACCAGUGCUGCCAUUAUCUGAGCCCUUUCUGGGAGCCAAGCUCUGUGCUAAGUGCUUUGUUGCCAAGUUCGCUGUCUCACGUAGUCCUCACAACGGCUCUCUGCGAGGUAGGUGUCAGCACCCCCAUCUUCCAGGAGAGGAACCUGAAAGGUUCAAUAAGGUGUCCACGGCCAGGACUGUAGACGGUGGUGUUGGACUCUGGCCCCAGCCCACCUGGACUCAUAAGCAGUAAGCUAGCUCAGCUCACAGCAGCACACCCACCACCAGCCUUACAAAGUGGGGGGACAAUUUCGUUAGAGUGCAAAGCAUUAGGGGUUCAAAUAACAAAUGGUUGUCCAAUGCAAGCCCAUGACAUGGUUAAAAAAAAAAGCACCUUUACACAGCUGGAAGCCCCGGUCUAAUUUCUCUCCCUCCACUGUAACAUGGACCACCUCUAGCCCAGGUCCUCUAAUGGAACUUGAGGGUUUAAAUUUCUGCUGCUGUCCAAGACACCAUAACUCUUACACCCCAGAACCCACCCAUCCUAGGAGUCCAGCCUGAGCGAACUCGCACUGUGGACCUCUCAGCCCUUGCCCUGGGAUCUCCCAAAGUCUUUGUGGGAUCUUCUUUCAUCCCCACCUCAGAGCAUAUCCUUGCUCCCCGUUCUGAGCUCGGGCGUGGUGGGGCGGGGCGGGGCGGGGCGGGGGUGGGGGCCACAGGUGCGGCCACUUGAAGCAGGAUCUUAGUUUCCUGACUGCCAAUUGAAUCCGGGCCGCCUCGGUGAAAACCGGGCAUCUUAACGCCUAGACCACGAGGGCCAGCGGGCUUGAAACAGGACCUUGGUCCUUGUCUUCUCUGAAGAAAGAAUUCAACAAGGAGACAGAAGGUAGUGAAGCAGGAGACAAGCUCCAGCUGCUCAGCGGCCCAGCUAUCUCCUGUCUCACUUCCAAGGGUGUGAUGGUGCCAGAGGGGCUAAGCUGGUGUUUACUGAGGGAUGGCCAUCUAACCUUUUGAUCUUCAUCUCAGUCCUCCUGGUCUGUAACCAGGGUGAAAGGAAAGACUGGGUGCCCGGUGUGCCUCAGAUCCACCCCAGCCCUUCCUGUGCACCUCUUUUGAUUACCCUCAGCUCCUGCACAAGAGGGUCAGAUGAACAUCUGCAGCAACACAGUUCUUAUUCCCGGAUGACUGCAACCUGGCUGGGAGCUAGGCUGCAAGUCCUUCCUGCUGAGGUCAUGGCUCAAAGCUUCAGUUCACUGGGCAUGAGCUGCCUGGAAACACGUGGAUGCGUCCAACCAGGCGCCGGCAGCAAGAGCUUGAGCAGGAGGAUGUGGUGCCCAGACUCAAGGACUGAAUUAGACUCUGUUCAAAAGGAUGCAGACACAGCACCUGACUCAGAGGAAGUGACCUGACAGUGCUGACCACAGACCCUUGUGCUCAGUGCAGGAAGGAGGAGGGAAGAGUCAUGCAGAAUUUGGUUUGAAAGAUCCUAUGCUAAGGGCUACGGAACUGUGACCCUGAGAGACUAUUCUACAUUGCAGUAUUUGCUGUUUGCUUGAUAUUUGACAACACCAGAAUUUUGGGAGAGACAAUUCUCUUUGAGCUUCUUGCUCUCCUGCAUCUCCUACUGUGUGUGCCAAAACUGUAAAGUCCUGACCCCUGUUUUGCCUGGGCCAUUUCUCAGCACUGCGUGGGUGCCCAAAGCACAGAGGAUGCAGGUCGGAAGGUGGUGGCCUGUGCAGAGGAAGAAAGAAGCCCCUGGGCCCACGCACCAGACGCUGGGAGCAAUAAGUGGCAUGCUCAGGUGUAGACCCUGGAGAACUGGAGAAAAGAGGCUGACAUUGUUUCCUUUCUGCUGCUCCCACCGUCCCCCAGGGGCUAGCCUCCACCGCCCCCUGUGCUCCAUGAACUGCCAGCCAGGGGUUAACGUGUUGUUCUGGUGUUAGGGACUCACAUCACUGUAGUCCCUGACUCUUGUGCAUGUUAGACUCCUUGGUUCAUGUUCUCAUGGAGUAAAAAGGCUCCCGAAUUCAAACGAUUGGGUUUUGGUGAAGUUUGCAGAAGGGAAGGAAAUCCUAAGGGGCCUUUGGGCAGGGUCCUGUGGGCCAUUCACUGUACUGUUGUGGCUUCCACCACUGAACGGAUGGUAAGUACCGAGGGUUCUAGUCUGUCUUCCUGUCAGGUGAGUGGCAGAGGGGAUUCUCCCAUCCGGGAUCGCUGCGUGUACAGAAGUGCUGGAGGUACGUGUAGAAUGCAACCUCCCCUCUAUCGUUUCCUCCCUAAACCAUCCCUGGUGGUCCGGCAGAGACAAUACAGAAUUCCUGCAAGAGGAGAAAUCAGUUUUAAAGAUUUAAUGGCCGGCAGACUAUGCCGGGGCAUUUCCUGGUAUAACAGCGCCACCUGCCGGACAAGCCACCGGUGGCCUUUUGGUUUUGUUUUUGAGCAAGUUAUUACCAAGCUCUUGUGGAAACUGCAUGUCUGACCCGUGCAUGGCUUGUGGCUCUUUGGCCUGAAUGCCCAUUUUGAGGCGUAUCAAAUCAGACUCAAUGACUAACAAGGUGGAAAGAGCCCAAAAGAUCUCUCUGUUCAAAAGGAAAUGGCACAUAUAUUCAAGAACCAGGUUGCCUGGCCCUCCUGGCAUCUCACCUUCACAUAAAAUGGGGCGUUGACACCUUUAGGGGAAACAGUAUCCCCUGCCAUGUCCCCUAAAGCAAAGCCACUGACCCAAAGGGGCCCUGGCUUCACAAAGAAACCCCUAAACUCUUGGGCCUGGUGCACUGGUGGUUUAGCUAAGUUGAUGGCGUCAGCACUGUUGCAGCUGCUCAGCACCAUAUCCAUCAGGCAGAAAGUGACCGCGAUUGUUCUCUCAAGGGCCAGAGCUCACCACAGUCCUAAUCGUACUGGCCAGUCCUCCCCUGAGCCUGAGUUGCUGAUGGGCCACCACCUGGCCUGCUACUGGGGAGAUUCUGGACUGGCAGAUUACAGACACCCCUCUGUGGGGCAGUAACUCGGGGAAACAUAUUGCCACUGCUGAUGGGACAGUGGUGCCACUGAUGCAGAUGUAUUCAGUAAGGAUUCUCUGAUGAGACCACUGGAAGCAAACUGCUGAUCAAGCCUUCAUUGCCCAGAUCACAGCCAUCACUACCCGCGUCCACUUGCAGAUAUCCGGCAGCCUGGAGCCAAGGCUCAGAGACAUGGCGGAUUCCCUUCCAGACCACCACAAUAAAGUGAAUAUUGCAAUAAAGCAAGUCACAUGAAUUUUUUUGUUUUCCAGUGCAUAUAAAAGUUAUGUUGACUCUAUACUGUCACAUAUUAGGUAUGCAAUAGCAUUAUGUUUAAAAAACAAUGCACAUACCUUAAUCAAAACAUACUUCAUUGGUAAAAAAAAAUGUUAAGCAUCAUCUGAUAACACAGAGUCAUCACAAACCUUCAAUUUAUAAAAGAAAAAACCCUGCAAUAUCUUCGAAGGGCAAUAAAACAAGGUAUGCUGUACUGGAGAACAAAAGUAGUGAACUCACUGCUAGUGCCUGGGUGCUUCAAAUUCUGCUCUCCUUCCCCAAUCCCCCUGCUGCUAUGUACUUCUCAGAGUCUUCAGAUAGCUGCUCCAUGCCUGCUGUCCGGGGGUACAGUUGUAUUGAGUGGGACAGACAGGGUGGCAUGUGCUUACUCCAUCUCACCCAGAACUGGAACCCAGGGAAAGCUUUGAACAGGUGGAGAUAGGGGAGCCCCCCACUCCCCAGCACCAGGGCAAAGGCAUAGAGCUGGGAACGCAGGACAGGCUGGGUCCUGAGCCCUGCAGGAGAGCAGAGGGAGAGAAAUUUGGCAGAAGGGUGAGUGCUGUGGGCCCAGGUGUGCAGCCAUCAUGGGGGAGCCACUGAGGGGACCCAAGCCGAGACAGCCAAGACAGGAGCUGGGCUUCAGGCCUCAAAUGUGCUGUUGCCCUCACCUGGAACGCUCCUUCUUCUGCACUUCACCCAGCCAACUCUUUCUCAUCCUCAGGUGUCAGCUGAAAUCUCACUUCCUCAGGGAAGCCUACCUGACCAUAGAUCCCACAGAAUUCUGUACUUUUCCCUCCUGGUCCUUAUCAUGGUGGCAAUUGUUAAUUAAGCAUUUGCAAUUGUUUAAUUCACACCAGUUUCCCCUACUGGACUGUGGGAACAUGAGGGCAACAUCCACAUAGAUCUCGUUAAUUGCUUAGGUGGAUCAGUCAGUCAGCAAACCUGUAGGGAGAACCUGCUCUGUGCCCACCAUUGUCCUGGGCACCAGUGUUCCCAAGGACAAGGUGUCGACCUUGCCCACUGUUGUCUGCCUGUUGCCGGCACAAACGCUGAGCCCAGUGUUAAAUGACUGACUGCCCAAAGGUGGUUCUGGCUGUGUGUGUGUGUGUGUGUGUGUGUUUAAAGGGAGAAGG